GCUAGCGUUUUUCGGAGUUACUGGGCGUAAAGCGCACGUAUGCUGAUUUGUAAGUCAGGGGUGAAAUCCCGGGGCUCAACCUCGGAACUGCCUUUGAUACUGCAAGUCUCGAGUCCGAUAGAGGUGAGUGGAAUUCCUAGUGUAGAGGUGAAAUUCGUAGAUAUUAGGAAGAACACCAGUGGCGAAGGCGGCUCACUGGAUCGGUACUGACGCUGAGGUGAGAAAGCGUGGGGAGCAAACAGG
rnacentral:rRNA from 1 species